AAAUAUAUCAGAUGAGGGUUUCCCCGUGUAACUGUAGCCCAGGCAGCGUAGAUAAAGCUUAUAAAGGAGAGAUGUAGACGGCGAGGAACCAGGAAUUUCACUGGAAGUACGUGAGAAACCUUAAGAGGACUGCACCUUCUACACACCUUGAGGGCACGUCUUGAAAGGGCUCAAAAUGAGUGAGAUACAGCUCUGCAGGAGAGUCUCCAUCAGCUGAGCUUUGAGAAGGAUAAAGGGCACCCCCCAAACGGGGGCUUAUUGGGAAAAGUCCCAGUGUCAACUUGGGGAAAAAAAUAAUAGCACAAAGGAAGACCUGUGAGUUGAGUUUCUUCAGUGCCUUACUGAGGACUGUGGCCUGGAGACAGCCUCUCAGAUAUCCCUGAAGAGCUAUUCUGAAAAGAGCACAGAGUGCCUCUUGAUCUUUUCCCGGAAUUCCUCUCAGUGUGUACUGCGGGUCAGUGAUUGCUGUGGCUAAUAACGCAGGCCUUGUAGAACUGGAUGGUGGGCAAAAUUCUUCAGUUUACUCCAGGCUCCUCCUAUUCCAGCUGCUGCUGAAGGACAAUCACAUGCCUGGCAGCCAUUGCCUGGAAAAAGAACUCUCUUUCACUUGAGAAAGUGGAGGUUGAGCCACCAAAGGCUGGGGAAGUUCGUAUUAAGAUAUGCAUUUUUUACAGAUUGAAGGUUUGUGGCAACCCUGUGUUGAGUAAACCUGCUUGUGCCAUCGAGCAUUAAUCCAGAAGAGGGCAGAAGGCUGUUCAGCCGUGACACGGACGGGCACAGCAGCAACCCAGAAACACAGAGUUGUAAGGAGAGAAAUGAACACCUUUAGCUCCAGAUCACAACAAACUGUGGGAAAUUCUUAAAGAGAUGGGAAUACCAGACUACUUUACCUGCCUCCUGAGAAAUAUGUAUGCAGGUCAGGAAGCAACAGUUAGAACUGGACAUGGAACAACAGACUGGUUCCAAAUCGGGAAAGAAGUACAUCAAGGCUGUAUAUUGUC